UACGGAGGGUGCAAGCGUUAAUCGGAAUCACUGGGCGUAAAGGGCGCGUAGGCGGCCUGGCAAGUCGAUGGUGAAAGCCCGUGGCUCAACUACGGGUCGGCCAUUGAUACUGCUAGGCUCGAGUCGACUAGAGGCAGAUGGGAAUUCCGGGUGUAGCGGUGGAAUGCGUAGAGAUCCGGAAGAACACCGGUGGCGAAGGCGGUCUGCUGGGGUCGAACUGACGCUGAGGCGCGACAGCGUGGGGAGCAAACAGG
rnacentral:rRNA from 1 species